rnacentral:rRNA from 1 species
AGUGAACGCUGGCGGUAGGCCUAACACAUGCAAGUCGAACGGCAGCACAGGAGAGCUUGCUCUCUGGGUGGCGAGUGGCGGACGGGUGAGGAAUACAUCGGAAUCUACUCUGUCGUGGGGGAUAACGUAGGGAAACUUACGCUAAUACCGCAUACGACCUACGGGUGAAAGCAGGGGAUCUUCGGACCUUGCGCGAUUGAAUGAGCCGAUGUCGGAUUAGCUAGUUGGCGGGGUAAAGGCCCACCAAGGCGACGAUCCGUAGCUGGUCUGAGAGGAUGAUCAGCCACACUGGAACUGGGACGCGGUCCAGACGCCUACGGGAGGCAGCAGUUGGGAAUAUUGGACAAUGGGCGCAAGCCUGAUCCAGCCAUACCGCGUGGGUGAAGAAGGCCUUCGGGUUGUAAAGCCCUUUUGUUGGGAAAGAAAUCCAGCUGGCUAAUACCCGGUUGGGGUGACGGUACCCAAAGAAUAAGCACCGGCUAACUUCGUGCCAGCAGCCGCAGUAA